UGUAUACUUCAUUUUUAUCGAGACACUCGAUUUUGUUGUGUUCAAGUUUGCAUUGAAAGGAUGUGAUUUAUUAUUGAAAUUGAAAGUAGGUCAACAGUAAAUAUGGAUUCUAUUGGAGCCGAAUUUUCUAUACUGUACUUCUAUGAUCCGGAUUGUACAGUGAAACCUCCACUUAUGGACACCUCCCAAUAGUGGAUGUUUUUUGGGGAACGGGGACAUUUUCACUAUUUUUCAAUAGGAUGGUUGACCAUGCAUAUAGGAACAUCUGUUUAUCGUAUACUUGUGAAAAUGCUAUAGCUUACAUUGAUGUGAAUUUGGCCUUAAGACAACAUUUUGUAAAUGAACAUCUGAUU